AGCCACUGGUUGAUAUCUUUGGUUUAACCUGCCCGGUGUUUAAUUUAACGGCCGCAGUACUUUGACUGUGCUAAGGUAGCAUAAUCAAUUGACUUUUAAAUGGAGUCGGGAAUGAAUGGUUUAACUGGGUUUAGCUGUCUUAUAAAUAAUCAUUUGAAUUUGCUUUUUAAGUGAAAAAGCUUAAAGUAAGUAAAAAGACGAGAAGACCCUUAGAAUUUUUAUUAAUUAAACUUUAGUUUUUAUUGGGGCGAUAAAGAAACAUAUUUUAACUUUCUUGAAUAUACUAGCCGAUAUUGUUAAGUACGUAUAAAUUACCUGAGGGAUAACAGCAUAAUUUUAAAGUUAAGUUUGUGACCUCGAUGUUGGACUAGGAAACUAGCAGGCUAGCCGUUUGUUAUGUUGGUUCUGUUCGAACUUUUA
rnacentral:rRNA from 1 species